CUCCUACGGGAGGCCGCAGUGGGGAAUAUUGCACAAUGGGCGCAAGCCUGAUGCAGCCAUGCCGCGUGUGUGAAGAAGGCCUUCGGGUUGUAAAGCACUUUCAGCGAGGAGGAAGGCGUUGCAGUUAAUAGCUGCAACGAUUGACGUUACUCGCAGAAGAAGCACCGGCUAACUCCGUGCCAGCCGCCGCGGUAAUUC
rnacentral:rRNA from 1 species